rnacentral:rRNA from 1 species
AACCGAAGAUCCGUUACCGGGCCCAUGAGAGUGGUAGCCCCGGAGAGGGACACUGAGAUACUGGUCCCAGCCCUUACGGGGGUGCAGCAGGCGCGGGACCUCUACAAUGCACGCAAGUGUGAUAGGGGGAUCCUGAGUGCUUAUGCAUAGCAUAGGCUUUUGCUAAGACUAGAACUCUUAGCGAAUAAGGGGUGGGCAAGACUGGUGCCAGCCGCCGCGGUAACACCAGCGCCCCAAGUGGCAAUCGCGUUUAUUGGGCCUAAAGCGUCCGUAGCAGGUUUGUUAAAUCUUUUGUGAAAUUGCUAGGCUUAACCUAGCGGAUGGCAGAAGAGACUGGCAAACUAGGGACCGGGAGGAGUCAGAAGUAUUCCGGGGGGACCGGUAAAAUGGUAUAAUCCCCGGAGGACUACCGAUGGCGAAGGCAUCUGACCAGAACGGAUCCGACUGUGAGGGACGAAAGCUAGGGGAGCGAACCGGAUUAGAUACCCGAGUAGUCCUAGCCGUAAACACUGCGAGUUAGGUGUUGCGUAAACUACGGGUUUGCGCAGUGUCGAAAAGAAGUUGUUAAGCUCGCCGCCUGGGAAGUACGGUCGCAAGACUUGAAACUUUAAGGAAUUGGCGGGGGAGCACCACAAGGGGUGCGGCGUGCGGUUUAAUCUAACUCAACGCAGAGAAUCUCACUAGGGGCGACGGCAGGAUGAAGGUCAGUCUGAAGGGCUUACCUGACAAGCCGAGAGGUAGUGCAUGGCCAUCGUCAGCUCGUGCUGUAAAGUGUCCUCUUAAGUGAGGCAACGAGCGAGACCUGUAUCCACAAUUGCUAGCGACUACAUGUAGGAUUGUGCACAUUGUGGAGACUGCCCUGGAAACAGGGAGGAAGGUGCAGGCUACGGUAGGUCUGUAUGCUCCGAAUCUCCUAGGCUACACGCGCGCAACAAUGGUAGGGACAAUGGGAUGCAACUCCGAAAGGAGAAGCUAAACCUCUAAACCCUAUCUCAGUUCAGAUUGAGGAUUGUAACUCAUCCUCAUGACGACGGAAUCCCUAGUAAUCGGAAGUCAUCAUCUUCUGGUGAAUAUGUCCCUGCUCCUUGCACACACCGCCCGUCAAGCCAACCGAGCAGGGUUUUGAUAAAAUUCAGUUUUUUUGAUUGGAUUGAAUCUAAA